rnacentral:tRNA from 1 species
GACGAGGUGGCCCGAGUGGUCAAAGGCCGAUGGACUGCUAAUCAUUGUUGCUCUGCAACGCGUGGGUUCGAAUCCCAUCCCUCGUGCGCA